rnacentral:rRNA from 1 species
GUCGUCAGCUCGUGCCGUGAGGUGUCGGGUUAAGUCCCAUAACGAGCGCAACCCUUACCGUUAGUUACCAUCAGGGUUAAGCGUGGGGACUCUAGCGGGACUGCCACCGUAAGGUGAGAGGAAGUGGGGAUGACGUCAAAUCAGCACGGCCCUUAUGUCCAGGGCUACACACGUGUUACAAUGGCCAGUACAAAGGGCAGCUACCGGGUGACCGGAUGCUAAUCUCUAAAGCUGGUCUCAGUUCGGAUCGAAGUCUGCAACCCGACUUCGUGAAGCUGGAUUCGCUAGUAAUCGCGCAUCAGCCAUGGCGCGGUGAAUACGUUCCCGGGCCUU